UCUUCCUUUCAUCUAACAUAUUUAUUGAGCACCUACUAUGUACCAGGCCUUGUGCUAGACUCUGGGGAUAUGGAAAUGAGCAAAGUAGAUGUACCCCCGAAACUUGUGGACUAAUGGAGGAGACGGACCUUAAUCAGAUCGUCAUUCAAAGAUACUAUUACAAACUGUUCUGAGAGCCGAGGAAGCAGGAAGGAGCUGUGAGAGACUGAGCUCUAACCUUGGCCAUCAAAGACAAGCUGUGCAGCUCUGGUUUUUUGAGGGCAGGACAUGGAGGGUCAGGCCCAGCUGGAGGCGCACCAAAGCCCAGAGAAAAUUCAGAACCACGUGAGCUUGUUGGAUUUCAGCCCCUUGAAGCACAUGUUGCUAUUGCAGCUGCCUUGAUAACUGGGGGGACAGGAGGAGCACGGCUUUCCCAUCUUGUACGGGGACUCGCCAAUCCAGUUGCCCCUGGAAGAGAAAAGGACCCAGGGAGACAGAGGAGCAUUAGGCUACUAAUGACUUCAAGAACAUCAGAAUAAUACAAUAGAAAGAAUUUGGAAUUUGGAAUCAAAAGACUGAUUCUUCUGAACCAGCUCUACUACUUGUUGGCUUUGUGACAUUUGGUAAAUUACUCAACCUGCCUGAGCCUCAAUUUCUUAAUUUGUAAAAAGAAUGUCCUCCUAGGGUUCCCCCCUUUUUCCUUCUUUCUUUCAUCUCUUCAAUGAGAUAGUGUGAAAGUAGUUUGUAAAUGAUUAAAGGCUACGUGACAGUAAAA
rnacentral:antisense_RNA from 1 species